rnacentral:rRNA from 1 species
AGAGUUUGAUCAUGGCUCAGAAUCAACGCUGGCGGCGUGCCUAACACAUGCAAGUCGAACGAGAAAGGGGAGCAAUCCCUGAGUAAAGUGGCGCACGGGUGAGUAACACGUGACUAACCUACCCUGGAGUGGGGGAUAACUGAGGGAAACCUUAGCUAAUACCGCAUAAUACCCACGGGUCAAAGGAGCAAUUCGCUUCAGGAGGGGGUCGCGGCCGAUUAGUUAGUUGGCGGGGUAAUGGCCCACCAAGACGAUGAUCGGUAUCCGGCCUGAGAGGGCGCACGGACACACUGGAACUGAAACACGGUCCAGACUCCUACGGGAGGCAGCAGUGGGGAAUUUUGCGCAAUGGGGGAAACCCUGACGCAGCAACGCCGCGUGGAGGAUGAAGUACUUCGGUACGUAAACUCCUUUCGAUCGGGACGAUUAUGACGGUACCGAGAGAAGAAGCCCCGGCUAACUUCGUGCCAGCAGCCGCGGUAAUACGAGGGGGGCGAGCGUUGUUCGGAAUUAUUGGGCGUAAAGGGCGCGUAGGCGGUUUGGUAAGUCUGAUGUGAAAUCUAUGGGCUCAACUCAUAGUCUGCAUCGGAAACUGCCGGGCUUGAGUGUGGGAGAGGUGAGUGGAAUUUCCGGUGUAGCGGUGAAAUGCGUAGAUAUCGGAAGGAACACCUGUGGCGAAAGCGGCUCACUGGACCACAACUGACGCUGAUGCACGAAAGCUAGGGGAGCAAACAGGAUUAGAUACCCUAGUAGUCC